AUCGACUGCUGCUCUACUGCAACGUGUUUCCCCCGCGCUUAGCUACAAGAGAAAAAGAGACUCAAAGACGACAGCACGCAAAGAAGAACUCUGCGAGGAGCACUCCUGCUGACCAAUCAUGUUCCGCUGUGCUUGUGUCCGCCUUGGGCAGCGCGUGCUGCCUAGUUACGUGCCACGCAUGUCCGGCACCUCUCGGCGAGCGAAAGGCCUCUUUACCGGCAUCGCUGUUGGCACCUUCGUGAGUGGUGCCAUGUUUGUUUCCUGCGCCAGCGCACGCGUGGAGGAGCCGCCGUUCGACAUCCGGGCUCUCCGCGCCGACAUUGAGAGCAUGAUCUCUGACAAGCUGGAACUCGGACCUUCGCUGAUUCGCCUCGCAUGGCACGAGGCCGCUUCGUACGACUGCUUCAAGAAGGAUGGCUCUCCGAACUCAGCGUCGAUGCGCUUCAAACCGGAGUGCCUGUACGAGGGUAACAAAGGUCUCGACAUCCCUCGCAAGGCGCUGGAGCCGUUGAAGAAGAAGUACCCACAAAUAUCUUACGCGGAUUUGUGGGUGCUCGCCGCCUACGUGGCCAUCGAGUACAUGGGUGGUCCCACGAUUCCGUUCUGCUGGGGUCGGGUGGAUGCCAAGGAUGGCUCUGUGUGUGGACCUGACGGGCGCCUGCCGGACGGCUCAAAGACGCAAAGUCACGUGCGCGAGGUGUUCACGCGUCUCGGGUUCAAUGACCAGGAGACAGUGGCGCUCAUCGGCGCGCACACGUGCGGUGAGUGCCACAUCAAAUUCUCCGGCUACCAUGGACCGUGGACGCACGACAAGAACGGUUUCGACAACUCCUUCUUUACGCAGUUGCUCGAUGAGGAUUGGGUCUUGAAUCCGAAGGUUGAGAAGAUGCAGCUGAUGGACCGCGCGACGACGAAGCUGAUGAUGCUUCCCAGUGACGUUUCCCUCCUCCUCGAUCCCGGCUACCGCAAGUACGUGGAGCUGUACGCAAAGGACAACGACCGCUUCAACAAAGACUUUGCGAAUGCGUUCAAAAAGCUGACCGAGCUCGGCACCAAGAACCUUCACAGAGCCCCCGCUUCGGGGAGCUAAAAGUGAAAGAAGCGCGCUUUGGCUGCUUUCCUACUCUCCCCCGCCCUCUACAGGAGAAGCACGCCGUUGACGGAGGCACGUUGUGCAGCUGCUGGGGUCUCUCCGUUGUUGCAUUAUACUCGCAAUGUGAUGGCCGAAGCCAGCGACCUUUGGCACUCUCUUCCGUUUUCGCUCUUCUUCCUCGGGCGAGUCUGGGACUGUAGAGGUCGUCGACACACGUUUCCUCUUGCGCGUCUCUGUGCAUGUGCCUGAGUGAAAGCUCAGCACCGAUAAUGGAAGGGUGACUGACACCAUCGGUGUGUCUCUAGGCGCGUAGCACGAAGCAGCAGUAGGCGUGAAGGCGAACUGUGGACAGUGUGCUGAGGGGCACAGAUGAGGUGUACGCCUCUCUCUCUUUGGCGUGCGGAUGCAGUGAGAAAGUGAAGAAGACACCGUUGGUAUCUCCUUGCACGCAUUCUUUCUUCCUCUUUUUUCCGCCCACUGUCCCGCUCUGGUGAUGGGGAAGACCUCAGCGCGGGGCACCUAGGUCCGGCACCCCCACUCUGUGUGGGGAAGCCAGGCAGCCCCUGCUCCUGCCAAUGCACGGCCACUGGAGGCGGUGACAGGGUCAGGCACCUAAGACAUGGGCGAGCCAGAGCAAUUCAACGCUGCUGAUGCCGGCGGUCAGCUCCUGGAUGGCGUUGCGUCGGAGCCGCCAGCGAAGCGAGUGGGGUGCAGAGUUGCGGGUGGAGGCCGUGCUCAGAUGACGGAGUCGGUGCAUUGCUGUGCCGCGUGCCUACGACUGCAUCGCACCACGCAACAGGGCCGUGCCAGCGCAAGCAGACUGGAGUUGAGCUCAUGUUGCAUGGCCGGAUAGGCACGAACAACAACAAAUACAAAGAAACGCUCUUGUAUGCGCGAAACGCACUUUUCUUUCGCUUUUCUGUUUUCUGUUGUUGUUCGUUAUUGCUGCAACACAGCCUAUCUCAUUCCUGCUGCACGAAAGCUGUGCAGUGGGCCAGGUGUGCAUGGUGCCUGCAUUUUUUCCCUUGCCGUGCUCUGGACGAAGCAGAGAGCGGUGAAAAGCGAAAAGCCUGCUAAUAUGCUUCGUGGCGCGCCGUUGUGGGGGUGCGUGGCGGAAACUUGAAGGCGAACACAGGAGUGCUAUCUUCCUUUUGUCGUGUAUAGGGCUGCAUUACUUGUCGUGCCAGCCCUGGAAAUUGCGAUUAUGACUUCUUUGUUGCUGGAGAGCUGGCAGCAACACCCCGUCUCCCUCACUCCCCCCUCUCACUUCUUUUUUUGACUUUUUUGUUCCUGCCUCCUUUGAGUUUUAUCAUUGCGCUCGCUGUGAUGCGUCUGCUCUUUCGACCGUUCUUUUUGUGUGACUUUUCCUUUUAUUGCCUGGGCUACCCUCUCCCUCUGACAUACCGACCAAAUGGCAGAAAAAAACAAGCAAAACACACCCUACCCUACCCCUUCCCUCUUUCGUCUCUCCUGCAUCUUUUUUUUUUAAUUUGCGAUAUUUCGACUUAUGCACUUCUCUUGCUUCUACUUUGUUCCUUCCAAUGCUCUUUUGUUCUCUGAGUGUCUCGGCGUGUACGCCGCCCCUGAUCAAAUUUUCAUCUGUCCCCCUCCACGUGUAGCGAAAGACGCGCAUUGCACAGAGGUGCGCUCUCUCUUCUCCCUUUGCGCGCUAAUGCGCAGCGCCACGAGCGUAAAUGGAUUCUCAUGUAGUGCAUGUGGCCACCUCACCCCUUGUACGAGCACCGUUGAUGCACACGUGCAGCCCUGCAAAGCGAGAAGAGCGAGGAAUAGGAGACAAAAGCACACCCACAUACGCACCUCUGUAAGGGCGUUGGCGGAGAGAGUACGAGGAACUUGUAAAAGACCCUUACUUCAGAGACAUCGUUAGCACUUAUUAUUUCUUGUCAAAUGCCGUUCUCCACCCUUUACUUUGAUGAUUGAGGGGAUGCUCUGAG
rnacentral:misc_RNA from 1 species